rfam:Homo sapiens chromosome 2, GRCh38 reference primary assembly.
GCCGGGCAUGGUGGCGCAAGCCUGUAAUCCCAGCUACUGUGGAGGCUGAUGCAGGAGAAUCACUUGAACCCAAGAGGCUGGGGUUGCAGUGAACCGAGAUCGCACCACUGCACUCCAGCCUGGGUGACAGAGCGAGACUCUGUCUCAA